GAUGAACGCUAGCGAUAGGCUUAACACAUGCAAGUCGAGGGGCAGCAUGGUCUUAGCUUGCUAAGACUGAUGGCGACCGGCGCACGGGUGCGUAACGCGUAUGCAACUUGCCUCACAGAGGGGGAUAACCCGUCGAAAGACGGACUAAUACCGCGUACACUCUAUUUUGGGCAUCCAAGGUAGAGGAAAUGAAAUUCGCUGUGAGAUAGGCAUGCGUCCCAUUAGCUAGUUGGUGAGGUAACGGCUCACCAAGGCGACGAUGGGUAGGGGAACUGAGAGGUUGAACCCCCACACUGGUACUGAGACACGGACCAGACUGCUACGGGAGGCAGCAGUGAGGAAUAUUGGUCAAUGGGCGAGAGCCUGAACCAGCCAAGUCGCGUGAAGGAUGACUGUCUUAUGGAUUGUAAACUUCUUUUGUAGGGGAAUAAAGAGGGGCACGUGUGCCCCAGUGAAUGUACCCUACGAAUAAGCAUCGGCUAACUCCGUG
rnacentral:rRNA from 1 species